rnacentral:rRNA from 1 species
CAGUCGCCACGGGAAUACAGAGGGUGCGAGCGUUAAUCGGAUUUACUGGGCGUAAAGCGUGCGUAAGCGGCUUCUUAAGUCGGAUGUGAAAUCCCUGAGCUUAACUUAGGAAUUGCAUUCGAUACUGGGAAGCUAGAGUAUGGGAGAGGAUGGUAGAAUUCCAGGUGUAGCGGUGAAAUGCGUAGAGAUCUGGAGGAAUACCGAUGGCGAAGGCAGCCAUCUGGCCUAAUACUGACGCUGAGGUACGAAAGCAUGGGGAGCAAACAGGAUUAGAUACCCCUGUAGUCCCUGUCUCUUAUAC